rnacentral:rRNA from 1 species
GGGGAAUUUUCCGCAAUGGGCGAAAGCCUGACGGAGCAAUACCGCGUGAGGGAGGAAGGCUCUUGGGUCGUAAACCUCUUUUCUCAGGGAAGAACACAAUGACGGUACCUGAGGAAUAAGCAUCGGCUAACUCCGUGCCAGCAGCCGCGGUAAUACGGAGGAUGCAAGCGUUAUCCGGAAUUAUUGGGCGUAAAGCGUCCGCAGGUGGUUUGUCAAGUCUGCCGUCAAAGCGUGGAGCUUAACUCCACACAGGCAGUGGAAACUGAUGAGCUAGAGUUCGGUAGGGGUAGCGGGAAUUCCCAGUGUAGCGGUGAAAUGCGUAGAUAUUGGGAAGAACACCGGCGGCGAAAGCGCGCUACUGGGCCGAGACUGACACUGAGGGACGAAAGCUAGGGGAGCGAAAGGGAUUAGAUACCCCUGUAGUC